rnacentral:rRNA from 1 species
UAAUACGGAGGGUGCAAGCGUUAAUCGGAAUUACUGGGCGUAAAGCGCACGCAGGCGGUUUGUUAGGUCAGAUGUGAAAUCCCCGGGCUCAACCUGGGAACUGCAUUUGAAACUGGCAAGCUAGAGUCUCGUAGAGGGGGGUAGAAUUCCAGGUGUAGCGGUGAAAUGCGUAGAGAUCUGGAGGAAUACCGGUGGCGAAGGCGGCCCCCUGGACGAAGACUGACGCUCAGGUGCGAAAGCGUGGGGAGCAAACAGGAUUAGAUACCCUGGUAGUCCACGCUGUAAACGAUGUCGAUUUGGAGGUUGUGCCCUUGAGGCGUGGCUUCCGGAGCUAACGCGUUAAAUCGACCGCCUGGGGAGUACGGCCGCAAGGUUA